GGCGGUGGUUCGUCUUCCCUGGCCCACGACACGACAGAAUGCCCAGCAAAUCAGGAAACGUUCUGCGACAGCCUGCGCUCGUCCCUUGGAUACACAUACAUGGUCCCAGCGGACAUCCCAUGCUUUGAAAAGUGCGAACAAGGGUGGUACUAUCAGAACGGGACGUUUAUUGUCGACUCAACUCCGAAUGCCGGUGGAAAGAGGUUACCAACAGUAGUGGAUGUAACCCCUCGGAAGCUGUUAUUGAGUGUCUGCGAGAACCUACAGUGGCAACUUGUCUGUGACAAGUGUAACUGCAUUAUCAAUUAUCUAGUUACAGAUUUGAAACAUUUAGCAGCACGUGACACCUUGACAAGAAAUAAUACAUCAGGAGACGAACAAGAUGGCAACCGUGAAGGCAACGCAGAUUUACCUGACUGGGUGAUUGCUUUAAUUGUGAUUGUGGUUGUUGGUGCAAGUAUCGCCAUUUUAAUUAUUGGAAUAAGGACAAAAGGCUUCUGUAAACCAAAACAAAAUGCUGUGCUAUAGUGGCAAGGCUUUGACUUUGUGCCUUCGAGCAAAUCACCUCAGGUUGCUCCAGAGGGACUGUGUCUGCAAUACCAGUUAUAUAAACCACUCUAAAUGACCACAAUAAUCACUAUUGUACUUUCUAUAUUUCCUCCAUUUUUUUUUCUUGUAUGAUUUUCACAAAUAUAACAUUCUGUUGUUUUAUUAGCUUUGUGUAUUGCAGAGCUUUGUGUGUGUCUUUUAAUCUAAAUGUAACCUUAACUCUGUCUUGUGCUACAUCACAUGCAGGACUAUGGAGGGCACUGACACUAUAUUGAAAAAUUAUUUUAUCAUAAACCAUAUCUUAUCAAAUUAUCUUAGAUCAUUAUCUAAAAAAAAAAGUAUCAAUGAUAAAUGAACUCCUUUAUAUAGCUUUGAAUAUAUAUGAAUAUAUAUUGAAUGUAUAUAUAUA
ensembl:lncRNA